UUGGUUCUUUGUCCCUGGAUGACGCUGCGCUCUACACUUUUCCAAGCCUCGGGCUAGCCCUGGACAACUUGGCCAAUGGCAGCGCCAAGAGUGGGGAA